rnacentral:rRNA from 1 species
CGGAGGGUCCAAGCGUUAUCCGGAAUCAUUGGGUUUAAAGGGUCCGUAGGCGGUUUUGUAAGUCAGUGGUGAAAGCCCAUCGCUCAACGGUGGAACGGCUAUUGAUACUGCAAGACUUGAAUUAUUAGGAAGUAACUAGAAUAUGUAGUGUAGCGGUGAAAUGCUUAGAGAUUACAUGGAAUACCAAUUGCGAAGGCAGGUUACUACUAAUGGAUUGACGCUGAUGGACGAAAGCGUGGGGAGCGAACAGGAUUAGAUACCCUGGUAGUCCACGCCGUAAACGAUGGAUACUAGCUGUUCGGAGCAAUCUGAGUGGCUAAGCGUAAGUGAUAAGUAUCCCACCUGGGGAGUACGUUCGCAAGAAUG